UUUGGUUCUGUUCUGCUGCAGCUGUGGUAGUUCUCAGCUACUGAUAUGUGGUGCUCAUUCUUUGAGUUCAUUCUUUGCUGAAUCUCGUUUGGCAUAGAAUACCUCUAGAUUUUUUGCAAGGUGACAAAUUUAGAGCAGCAGCAGAUAAUUACAUUAGGCCUCUCCUAACUAAGGGAGUUCCAUCUCUUUUCUCUGAUCUUUCGUCUUU